rnacentral:rRNA from 1 species
AUUGAACGCUGGCGGCAGGCCUAACACAUGCAAGUCGAGCGGAGCGGCGGACGGGGGAGUAAGGCCUAGGAAUCAGCCUGGGGGUGAGGGAUCACGUCCGGGAAGGGGCGCUAAUGCAGCAUACUUUCAGAUGAGCCUAGGUCGGAUUAGCUAGUUGGUGGGGUAACGGCCUACCAAGGCGACGAUCCGUAACUGGUCUGAGAGGAUGAUCAGUCACACUGGAACUGAGACACGGUCCAGACUCCUACGGGAGGCAGCAGUGGGGAAUAUUGGACAAUGGGCGAAAGCCUGAUCCAGCCAUGCCGCGUGUGUGAAGAAGGUCUUCGGAUUGUAAAGCACUUUAAGUUGGGAGGCGUUACCUACAGAAUAAGCACCGGCUAACUACGUGCCAGCAGCCGCGGUAAUAC